AACAGGGUAUAUAUUGCUACUGGCCAAGAAAAAAUUUACUGCCAAAGCAAAAAAAGAGAGACUCCAGAUACUACCUUCUGGUCAAAACACGUUGCAGUGGUUCUGGUAUAUGCAGCUGCCAUGUUCUUUCCAGAUAGCUAUGAGGAAGCCAGACUGAAGGCCAACCAAGCUACAGUGUCAUCAAACCUAGAAAGCGAGGAAGAACCUCCACGGAGACCAGUACGACCUCCAGCUAGAUAUAAGAGACAGCUGGAUAGUGUCACCCCAAGAACAGAGUAUUUUGAAGAACGAAGACAGUUAAAUACUCCAAGCUGUGGCAACACUCAACAAAGUUUUAUAAGUGCCCAAGAACCAGAAACCACAGAACCUGACAGGGAAACACAACAUGAAGCUGAUGUUGCUGAUGUUGUUCCUGCAUCAGCCAGGGAAACCAGUUUGUGUGAGUACAAGUUAUAGAAAUGUUGACUUUCAUUCAGAGGUUUGUGUCCACUAAGAUUUGUUGAUGUUUUUGAAAGAAGUCUCUCUCUUCUGCUAACCAAGGUUGCAUUUUUUGAUCAAAAUUUCAGUAAAACAGUAAUUUUGUGAAACAUUACAACUUAAAUUUAAAAAACCUAAGAACUCUUUUUUUUAAUAUACUUCAAAAUGUAAUUUAUUCUUGUGAUCAAACCUUCAGCAUUAUUAUUCCAGUAUUCAGUGUUAUAUGAUCCUUCAGAAAUGGUUCUGAUAUUCUCAUAAUGUAAUAAUGUAGUUGUUUGUUAUAUAUUGUUAUAUUACAUUUUACAAUGUAUAAAAGAAUAGUCAUAUUGUACAGUUUUAUACAAUGUGUAAAAAAAGUUCCCGCCGUUGUUUUUUUCAUUCUGUAUUGUCUAUAACAGGAACUUAAAUAUAAUCUUUUCAUAUUAAUAUAUGAAAUAUAAUUUUUAAAGUGGCAGUCCAGUGACAUUCAUUAAUUUUCAUGAGAAUCAACAUGCUUGCCCAUAAAGCAACAUAAAUAAGAUAAGUAAUAAUAUAACUACCUAAACUAUCUCCCAAAGUUUUCAGAAAAUUUAAAUUUGAAAAUUUUCCAACAAUUGAAAGAAAUUAUUAAAUAAUAAAAAAAUAUAUAAAGUACAUCAAUAAAUGUAGAUACAUUUCUGACAGGUACAGUAAUUUUGCCUGCUACUCUUUGCAUGUUAACAUGUCAACUGCACAUUUCAGACAACACUGUUGAAGAAACUUGAACGAGCCUUGUUCAUUCGUCUUGACAAAAUGGACCAAAAGCUGUCAACGGUAGAAACACUUAAGAAGUGUUGCCCAGCCGAGCGACAUUUCUGAGUUUCUGCUUGAUCCUUGUAAGAGAACACAGGAGCUGGAGGAGUUGUUUGAGGAUGAAAGACAGUGAAUGCAGGAAAAAAACUAAGCUUGUCAAAAAAUGCACCCGAAGGUACAAGUCAAGGUGUUUGAAGAAUACGUCGCAGAAACCCUGAAGUACGCUCCUCAUCGUGAUUCAAGAACGGUGCAUGAAGAGACUGGACCUGCUAUUCUCACUGAUCAAGAGCUAAUAGAAUGAAAGCUUAAAUGUUUGAGAAUAUUUGUUGUUGUUGUUCCAGGUUAACAUAUUGUUACUAUAAAUUUAUGAUUAAUUUAUAACUUUUUUUAAUCAGUUUUUCAUUUAAAUGUGCAAUUCAUAUUUUGUAAUUCACAUUGUUACAUUACUGGAAUAGUUGUACCUUGUGUUAAUAAAAAUAAAGUUGAGAGAAUGGUUCAGGCACAUUAUUCUAAUCUUAAAUUAACGUU